UUCCACUGAGGACCCACGGCCCUGACUCGGCCAUUCCCCUGGGUCAGCCUCCUUAUCCCUCUGACUGCCUCGCUUCACUGUAAUCCCUGCCCCUUGCUCUGUGGGCUUAACCCGAGACCCUACCCCUGAGACAGGGAGAUAGACCCUCACACGUGUACACAUACAUACACACACCAAGAUACACAGUCACACGUAUACACAUUCACACACUCAUACAUACACACACAGCCAGUUCACUGUGCUCUGAGGCUGACACUGAACAGAGAACUUCAUCAUAAAGGAGUCUUUCCUGCCUGCAAUACCCCUGAGCAGCCCAGCCCUCCUUGGUGCUGCUGACUCACCAUGUUCCAGCUCAGGGAACCAUGAUUCUGAUGGGCUUGCUCAGAAUGUGCUGUCACCUAACAUUUAGAAAGCCACCAUGGGUCCCUGCUAGGUGAUGGAAUUCAGAAUCCACCCUACAUGUCACACUACCACCUCCUCCUUCCUCAUCUCCACCCACCCCACACCCCACUGCAUGAUCAGUCUGGGGUCAGAUUUUGUAGAGGGCAGUCUUUGGUUCUCCCCCCUCUUUUGCAGUCUCCUUCUUGCACCCUGGACUAGACCACCAAGGGAGUAUGAAGUAUUCAGCUUGUCGCGCGGCAAUAGCUGACUGUCACGAGCAGCGUCCCUGGGAAUCCGUUGCGGCACCAGAGAAAGAUGAUGCAGAAGAAGAGCGUAACAAAAAGUCCGGAACCCAAGCUGCCACCCGUCCAAACCUCCCGACAGAAAGGCGGGGAUAUUCACGCGUGUCCGUGGCCCGAGUGCGGCCGUGCAACCUUACAGGCUGGCCCUACUCAAGCUCUCGGCUCUAACUACCAAUAACCAGAGCUGCCACUUACUGGGCCUCUGAUGUGGGCUCAGACUACAGCGAACCCCGUAAAUACUUCGGGAGAAUGCCUUCUGGGGAGACCAGGACGGCUGGCUCGGUGCUCAGCCUGACGAGGGCGUGGGUGCAGGCCGCGUCCCCUCCCCGCUUGCGCCCUGGGGGCUGAGCACGUCUGAGUGCCCCCCACGACUCCAGGCUGUGCAGGGGCUCAACAGGUGCCACUUUCCCUCCUUGUCAUUCACCAGCCUGACCCUUUCCCGGGAAGAGGCAGCAAAAAUGAAGCCAUAAACAGGAAGCCUCGCUGUGAGGUCAGCCAUCCACGGCCCCGGGGUCAGGGACAAGGUUGUGCCAGGCCACUGGGAUGGAAGCUCAUGAGUCAUGCAGCACAAACCAGUCUAUCCUGCGAGCUGCACAGACGGACGCUGGGGAGGCCUGGACGCCCCCACCCCAGGCCUCACUGAGGCAUCCGUGUCCACGACGCUUGCUGUACGUUCCCGUCCGUGCCCCACCUACCCCGUCCCCCCUCCCUCCUUCCUUUCCCCAGCAGAGCAUUUCUUGAAGACGAGGCACAGCCUCCCCAAGCCCAGGCCAGCCCAGGACGCAGCAAGU
rnacentral:lncRNA from 12 species